GGAGAGGGAAGUUGGUCUUGGCCUUGGAGCCGCGGAACUCUCUGGCAGCGGCGUCGUAGGCUCGAGCGGCUUCCACAGCCGUGUCGAAGGUACCGAGCCAGACCCGGCUCUUCUUGCCGGGGUCUCUGAUCUCGGCGGCGUACCGGCCCCAUGGCCUCUUCCUCACUCCUCUAAAAUGCACCUCCUUCACGUUUCCGUUGCCGUUAGCUCUGACGGCGGUAGCCGUCUU
rnacentral:lncRNA from 1 species